rnacentral:rRNA from 1 species
UACGUAGGGACCGAGCGUUGUCCGGAUUUAUUGGGCGUAAAGAGCGUGUAGGCGGCCAUGUAGGUCCGUUGUGAAAACUCGAGGCUCAACCUCGAGACGCCGAUGGAAACCAUGUGGCUAGAGUCCGGAAGAGGAGAGUGGAAUUCCUGGUGUAGCGGUGAAAUGCGCAGAUAUCAGGAGGAACACCGGUGGCGAAGGCGGGUCUCUGGGCCGAUACUGACGCUGAGGAGCGAAAGCGUGGGGAGCGAACAGG